AUGGGCAUCAUCAAGAUCAAGCUCGCCAUGGACAGGCCGCGGAACCGUGUGUUGUUGGCUGACGCGGGCUCCGACUUCGUCGAUGUCCUCCUAUCCUUCCUCACUCUGCCGCUCUCUGCACUCCAGUCCUGCGCAAUAGGCGCGUCAUCCUUGCGGGGAUGCCUCUCCAACCUCUGCGACAGCGUCGACCACCUCAGAAACAGUAGCCUGCUGAAGGUUGAGGCCUGCCAUGGCAUGCUUCUCACGCCUGCUCACACCAAUGAGUUCCAGCUCUGCAAGUCAACUCACAGUACCAAUGACCUUGAGAUUUCCAGGCUCUGCAAGUGUUCCCUAGUUAUGGCUAGAGUGUUGCAUGUCUACGAGCAAGUAGGCUGCAAAGAGACGUUUGUAGGUGGCAAAGAACGGUAUGUGAUCAGUGAUGACAUGAAAAUCAAGCCAGCAUCCACCAGCACCAUGCUAUUGCUGCCUCAGGCGUUCGAUUCUGAUGGUAUCGGUCAUGGCUUUGAGGAGGUGGAAGUGAGCGUCUCCAGGACACAAGUUUUAUCCAUGUUGAAGGCCUUUCUUUCGUCAGACACCGUACUAACUGAUGCAUUUCUAUUGAAGGGAACUGAUAAUCAUAAGGCCACUCAUGCCACUAUGACACCGAUCAUCCGUCAGAAUAUUAUUCCAUUGGAUCAAGAUUCUGCAGGUUCAGAAUGGAAGAUAAAGGUCUUUUACCACACCCGUGAAAAGAAGGUCAUGUAUGCCGAAUGCAACCAUGAGUUUGUCGACAUGCUCCUCGGAUUCUUGACUUACCCUAUCAGCUGUGUGAUCAAGAACAUGGGGGCUGGCACUUGCCAUCUUGGCAGGUGCUUCGACAAUCUCUAUAGAAGCGUCACUGAUCUCGACGAUGUUGGGCGCUUAACAGGUGUCCUCUCCAAUAUGAUGUUCAUGGAUCCAGGCGUUAUGCCAUUUGACAUUUUUACCAACAUCAAGUCAUACCGGGCGCUUGCCUGCCGGUGCCCGAAGGAUGAUAACACACAUUAUUGCUGGCAUCCUGAGCUUGUUGAGGGUGGGAACUAUGUCGUCGGCGAUGAUCUACUUGUGCAUCAGGCCUCUGCCAUGUCUAUCAUGAAGCAUUGGUGUGGGAUAGACAAGGCUAACGUACUGCAGAUGGGCAUUGCUGUCGGGAAACGGGAGGCUGUUGCGCUGCUGCGAGCAUUGCUGACUUCAGAGACGGCACUGACUGAUGUGUUCAUCAGCAGGCUGGAGGAGAUGCAGAUAUUUGUCAAGUUCCCUUGGGGUAAGACCAUAACCGUGCAGGUUGUGAGAUCCGAUACGAUUGCCACCAUCAAGAGCAGGAUGAAGGAUAAGGUGUCGAUGCCGACUGGAUGUCGUCAUAAAUUGCUGUAUGCUAGCAGAUAUCUUAGAGACUCGUGCACUGUUGCUGACUAUAACAUCACCAGAGAAUCUACCAUCACCUGUGAAUUUCACAAGCUGAUGCCUACAGCCGGUCAGGAUGAAGCCUGA
rnacentral:rRNA from 1 species